CCUACGGGUGGCAGCAGUGGGGAAUAUUGCACAAUGGGGGAAACCCUGAUGCAGCGACGCCGCGUGAGUGAAGAAGUAAUUCGUUAUGUAAAGUUCUAUCAGCAGGGAAGAAAAUGACGGUACCUGAGUAAUAAGCCACGGCUAACUACGUGCCAGCAGCCGCGGUAAUACGUAGGGGGAAAGCGUUAUCCGGAUUUACUGGGGGUAAAGGGAGCGUAGACGGGAGUGCAAGUCUGGGAUGAAGGGCGGGGGUUCAACCCCCGGACUGCUCUGGAAACUGUACGGCUGGAGUGCGGGAGAGGUAAGUGGAAUUCCAAGUGUAGCGGUGAAAUGCGUAGAUAUUAGGAGGAACACCAGAGGCGAAGGCAGCUUACUGGACUGUAACUGACGUUGAGGCUCGAAAGCGUGGGGAGCAAACAGGAUUAGAUACCCCUGUAGUC
rnacentral:rRNA from 1 species